rnacentral:rRNA from 1 species
CCUACGGGUGACAGCAGUGAGGAAUAUUGGUCAAUGGGCGCGAGCCUGAACCAGCCAAGUAGCGUGAAGGAUGACUGCCCUACGGGUUGUAAACUCCUUUUAUAAAGGAAUAAAGUGAGGCACGGGUGCCUUUUUGUAUGUACUUUAUGAAUAAGGAUCGGCUAACCCCGGGCCAGCAGCCGCGGUAAUACGGAGGAUCCGAGCGUUACCCGGAUUGAUUGGGUUUAAAGGGAGCGUAGAUGGGUUGUUAAGUCAGUUGUGAAAGUUUGCGGCUCAACCGUAAAAUUGCAAUUGAUACUGGCAGUCUUGAGUACAGUUGAGGUAGGCGGAAUUCGUGGUGUAGCGGUGAAAUGCGUAGAUAUCACGAAGAACUCCGAUUGCGAAGGCAGCUUACUAAGCUGCCACUGACAUUGAUGCUCGAAAGUGUGGGUAUCAAACAGGAUUAGAUACCCGAGUAGUC